CGCCGUGUCCUCGGGGCGGAAUGAAACCUGUUGACUGUACUGAACGUCGUUUCCCUGAAUCCUGUAAUGUAAUGCGGAAUCCUGUAGUUUAUAGUCUGAAAUAUUCCGGAACUUUACUGCCAGUGGCUCAUUAUGCCUCACCUGGAUCACUGCGAUAUCCUUCUAACUAGUUUUCCUCCUUGAGUUUUCUGCCACUCAGAAGGGGAACAGGAAUAAAAAGGGCAGUAAGAAUAUGUGAAACUUCAGUGAAAAAGCUCCACCCAAAAAGAAGUCUGCUGCCUCUGUGUAUUCCAUAGUACCCUGGGGCUUCUGAACCACCAUCUUCUUUUCUUUUUUAUCAUGUGUUUUGUUUUGAUUGUCAUCUGGAGAAUAAAAUGUUUAUAAGUGAACGAUUUCAUUUUCAGAAAUUGAGGAUAGGGUAAU